rnacentral:pre_miRNA from 14 species
GCGGCAGGGCAGACACCUGACUUUAUAGGACCUGCAUUGUACACACUGUGUGUAUUGACUGGGCGUGCACAGCGCAUACAAUGUGGAUACUGUAGAAGUCAAUGACAGCACCCAGCGGA